CCCUUAGAUGUUCUGGGCUGCACGCGCGCUACACUGAAGCUAUCAACACGUUUUCCCUCCCUGAGAAGGGCGGGUAACCUUUUGAAUCAGCUUCGUGGUAGGGAUCGGGGCUUGCAAUUGUUCCCCGUGAACCAGGAAUUCCUAGUAGACGCGAGUCAUAAGCUCGCAUCGAUUAAGUCCCUGCCCUUUGUACACACCGGCCGUCGCUACUACCGAUUGAACGUUUUAGUGAGGCAUUUGGACCGACGCAUCUCAGUUUAACCGCUGGUUUGUGUUGGAAAGACUUCCAAACUUGAGCGUUUAGAGGAAGUAAAAGUCGUAACA
rnacentral:rRNA from 1 species